AUCAAUAAGCGGAGGAAAAGAAACUAACAAGGAUUCCCCCAGUAACGGCGAGUGAAGAGGGAACAGCCCAAAUUUGUAAUCUGGCCCUUUCAGGGUCCGAGUUGUAAUCUCGAGAACUGUUUUCCGUGCUGGACCGCGUACAAGUCUGUUGGAAUAUAGCUUCAUAGAGGGUGAGAAUCCCGUACAUGACGCGGACUACCAGUGCAAUGUGAUACAGUCUCUAAGAGUCGAGUUGUUUGGGAAUGCAGCUCAAAAUGGGUGGUAAAUUCCAUCUAAGGCUAAAUAUUGGCGAGAGACCGAUAGCGAACAAGUACCGUGAGGGAAAGAUGAAAAGCACUUUGGAAAGAGAGUUAACAGUACGUGAAAUUGUUGAAAGGGAAACGCUUGAAGUCAGUCUUG
rnacentral:rRNA from 1 species